rnacentral:lncRNA from 1 species
CUGCUGGGUAAGUGUCCUGUUGCCUUCUGGGUGAGCCUCACUCUGCCUCAAGUUUGAAGCAACACACAACAUAAUUCUGAGAGACUUUUCUUUCAUUUGCAGGCCCCCAAGCAACAUGGAGAACAGAUCUUUGUCUCAUAACAACAUUUUGGGGUCUGAAUCACUCCUGGAAAACUCCCCAAAUAGAUUUUCUCUGGACAACUUCAAUGAGCAACGUAGAACCCUUCAGGUGAUCCUCCAGGAUCCCAUUGUUGAUCAGGACCAGAGCCCCCAAAGUUUGCCUGAGACAGAUGAGGAAGAAGAAAUCCCUGUGGCAGCAGCACCGAGACCCUCUGUCGAGACACUGGCUUCAUCCAUGGGUGCCCCUCUGGAUAGCUUCAAGCUCCCUGUGGGUUUCGAUACCCCUCCCACUCUCCUGGGCUUCUUGGACACGUCUGCUGCUCGACACAAGAUGGCAGUGAACCCAAGAAAGCAAAAAAUCAACAGGCAACUGGUGGUAACAAGGAGGCAAAGAGGGGUCAAGUCAUAUGCCCCAAAGAAUGAAGAAGAGAAGAACAAAAGGGAACAAGGUGACAGGGACCAGAAACCUAGAGGAAAGACCUUUGCUGCAGAAAGCAGCCCUGACCUGCCUGAGCCUGUGUGUGUCACCAUGGCCCAUCAGAAGCAGAAGAACUUCCAGGAGCAUCCUUUUCCCCAAAGUCUUCACUCCAGGAAAGGAGAUGGAGCUAAUACAUCCAUAUUUGACAUCGAUGAGUGAUUCCAGAUGGAGAUCAGGAGACAUCUUGGGUGCCUGAAGCUGGAAAAGGAGAGCCCCUUCAGCUGCCUCAGUUAUAUCCCACGGCUCCACCCAGCCACCCCUCUUUCACCCUGGUCAAGAAGAAAGCCAAGAUAUGAAAGAAGAUGCCACAGAUAGUUCAGUAAUUUCACAGCUAAGCCUUUUGGACAAGAAUUACCAAUAGCUUUAUAGUUGUUUCAUGUAGCAAUUUCUUUAUUUUACCAUAUUAUUAUUACCAUAUUAUUAUUAUUUUUAUUACCAUAUUGUGAUGAUAUGAUAUGAUAAAAUUACCAUAUUAUUAUCAUCAUUAUUCAUAGUGUUAACAGUAGUUUAUUAGCAUUGUUGUUAGUGUUAUUGAUAGAAUUAGCAAUAGUGGUAGAGGUGAUAGGAUAUUAAGUAAGACGAAGGCCUGGGGAUCAGUGGCAUGCCAGUUGUCCAAGAGCUAGUCUAGCACCGAGUUCAGACAUUCCUGUCUCAAGGUGACAACAGCCUGUGUCAUCAUCAGUGUUACCAUUUCAGCCAUAGCAUCUCCCAAAGACCAUUCAUAGAAGAGAGGCCGCCAUUUUCACUGAUGAAGGGCAUGUCCACCCUUGGAAUUAUUAUCAAUCCCUGCGGCUUUGAAGCCUUAGAAAGGAGAACUCACCUUAAAACACUUAUUUGAAAGCCAUGAUAGCCAAGGACUGCUGAACCGCCACCCCUGACAGCCAGUUGUCAAUAUCAGCAGCCAUAAUCACCAGAAAGAAUAGAAAAGCUAGACCCAUGCAGACCCACCACCAUCAUUUGCCUCCAGACAGCCAUGCACUAGAAUUCCUUUAAGGAAGCUAUGAAAGCUUUGCUUUCCUUGAUGAGCAGUAGUAUCUCUCGCAGUUCAGCCCAUCUACCUUGGCUCUGCUUGGAGGCCUUAGUCUGUAGGCCCAUUGCAGAUCUCUGGCAAUAAAGGGCUCUGGGAAAAGCUCUUAGAAAGUAUU